AAGUCGCACGAGAAAGGGGCUUCGGCCCUGAGUACAGUGGCGCACGGGUGAGUAACACGUGAAUUAUCUACCUUCGAGUGGGGAAUAACUGGGAGAAAUCUCAGCUAAUACCGCAUAAAACCUACGGGUCAAAGCAGCAAUGCGCUUGAANANGANUUCNCGGCNNANUNNUUNNUUGGNGGGGUAAUGNNNCCCCCCAANANNAUGAUCUGUAUCCGGCCUGAGAGGGCGCACGGACACACUGGAACUGAAACACGGUCCAGACUCCUACGGGAGGCAGCAGUGGGGAAUUUUGCGCAAUGGGGGAAACCCUGACGCAGCAACGCCGCGUGGAGGAUGAAAUCCCUUGGGAUGUAAACUCCUUUCGAUCGGGACGAUUAUGACGGUACCGGAAGAAGAAGCCCCGGCUAACUUCNUGCCANCANCCGCGGUAAUACNAGGGGGGCAAGCGUUGUUC
rnacentral:rRNA from 1 species